CAUCCAUCCAACUAGAGACUAGAGACUGUCAACAGCUCAGUAACUUUGUCUGAAUAUGAAGGACCCGAAGGACCACUGAGAUUGGAGACAGAACAAAGGCCACAGGAUUCUGCUGCAAAUUCUAACAGGAGGAGGCAAUGGCAGCCCUUACUAAAACCGCAGAACUACAGGAAGAGGAUCCCUGAGUGGGAUUCCUGUGUGAAAGGCAUUUUCACCUUUUUGUGUAUCUUCAGAAUCUUAACUUUCAUGAGAGAAGAAUAGAAAUGCAACAAUGGAACAAUCCACUGUAUACACGUAGCUGACAAUUUAAUAAACUUGAAGGAAAUGCUACAGAGUCCUGUCAAUGUCUUUCUUGGUCCACAUGCGGCUUCUGUAGGAGAUCUUCUAUGUGUCAGGCCAGAAAUUCCAUGCAACCAGUCCUAGAUUUCCCAAUGGUGGUGCUGAAUGGAGCGUUUCACUUGGUGUCAUUGUCAGACAGUUCUGCCAAGUUUGUUAUUAGGCCUCACGUGGCCUAUGUAACAGGUUUUCCCCUACAUCUUGUCUAACCAACCUAGCAAAACUUUCAGUUCAUCCCCUUCUAUUCCAAUCUGAUCAAAGCUUGAGAGUGUCUCAUGAAAUUUUAUAGGUUUAGUUGUCUCAUUUAAAUUACCACCAUGAAAAUCUCCUGGAUCUUAAAAUUAAUGUAAACUUUAAUCUACAAUGUGAUUUCUUCCCCACCUGUGGCCUGAUUUUUAUUUUUUUUUAUUUUUUAUUUUUAUUUUUAUUUUUAUUUAUUUAUUUAUUUUUUUAUUGAUAAUUCUUGGGUGUUUCUCACAGAGGGGGAUUUGGCAGGGUCAUGGG
rnacentral:lncRNA from 1 species